rnacentral:rRNA from 1 species
UCGGGAAUAUUGCGCAAUGGAGGAAACUCUGACGCAGUGACGCCGCGUGCAGGAAGAAGGUUUUCGGAUUGUAAACUGCUUUAGACAGGGAAGAAAAAAUGACGGUACCUGUAGAAUAAGCUCCGGCUAACUACGUGCC